rnacentral:lncRNA from 1 species
GGGGUUUGUGAUGGUACAUUAGUAUUGUGGGAAGUUGGGCCAUGAGACAAAUGUAUGCUCGAAGAGAAAGGAGCCUAUAGUGUGGCUGGAGUAUGAGCCCACAUAGGCACCCCCAACUAGUCGAGCAUCUCAAAUGUGACCACAAUAAGGAGGACGACAACAAAGGCCUAGGAUCCAAGAAAGAGUUUAUGCACUCACUUAGCAAGAUGCUA